CCGAGUUAUACAACUCAUCAACCCUGUGAACAUACCUAUAACGUUGCCUCGGCGGGAACAGACGGCCCCGUAACACGGGCCGCCCCCGCCAGAGGACCCCCUAACUCUGUUUCUAUAAUGUUUCUUCUGAGUAAACAAGCAAAUAAAUUA
rnacentral:misc_RNA from 3 species